rnacentral:rRNA from 1 species
UACGUAGGGUGCGAGCGUUGUCCGGAAUUACUGGGCGUAAAGAGCUCGUAGGUGGUUUGUCGCGUUGUUCGUGAAAACUCACAGCUUAACUGUGGGCGUGCGGGCGAUACGGGCAGACUGGAGUACUGCAGGGGAGACUGGAAUUCCUGGUGUAGCGGUGGAAAUGCGCAGAUAUCAGGAGGAACACCGGUGGCGAAAGGCGG